rnacentral:lncRNA from 1 species
ACCAAAGGGGCCACCACCACUAGAAAUAACCACUAUUGUCGAAGGGGACACCGUUGUUAACUAUAUCAUGAACCCUCGUUGAUUUUGAUUCUGGAUCCGCUGCCACCGAUUGUUAGCAGUGGCGGAUGUAGUCUGGAGUGCAUGCACCCCACUUAAACGUGAGUUUCACCUUAUAAAUUACACAAAAAUUUUAAUUUAUUCUAUAAAAUUGUAGAAAUUGUCCCCAGUUAGUUGGUUAAAUGAUGACACGCUCUUUUACAAAUUUCCGUUUUUUUUUACUCUUCUUGCUUUUUCUUAUUGACAUUAUGUUUCCCAUGCCCAUCUCCCUUUCAUAUAUUAACCCCAUUUCACUUUUAGUUUUGCUCUUUUUGAAAACAAAAAAAAAACUCAAGAAACUCUAUCUAUUUUUAUAAGUUGUAAAAAACAACCACCAAUUUGUUGUUUUGCUGGCUUCAACCGUUACUAGAAGGGUCACCUGCCACCCCCACUAUAAGUAAUCACUAUUGGUGAAGGGACCAUUGUUAAUUGAUAAAUUAAAUAUCCUUUUAUUUUUUGUUCUUACAAAUCUUCCAAUCAAAUUAAGUGAUGACAUGUGUCACAUUUAAUGUGCAUUUAAUGAUAUUUAAUAUACUAAAAUCACACAUGUCAUCAUUUAAUUGGGUAGGAGGAUUUGUAGGAAUAAAAGUAGGAGGAUAUUUUCUCUUGUUAAUUAUAUCGUUCACCUGGUUGAUUUCGAUUUUGGAUCCGCCACCGGUUGUUAUUCCACAUUAAUCAUAGGAAAAGAUUUUAGCUGCUAUUAAUCACUAGUUGCUAGAUUCACUUGUGCUUUAUAUUUAUGAUUUAUCCAGAUAGCCAGUUUUCUUAUUAUCACCAAAUGCAGCUCAAAUCUAUACAUUGCUGAUAAACAUCACAACAUAAGACUGACCUAAUCAAUUUCACAAAUGUAUACAUUUUAGUACAUUGUAAACCACACCUCUAUACUUGUAAUUAUUACAAUUUUACACCUUUAAUCAACACAGCAUCACCAUAAAAUUACUACAUGGUGAAUUAUUUUACAAUAUCUCGAGUUAUUCAACAUAAUACAUCAUACCAAUCAAAGUACUUUUUCAUGCAUUCAAUCAUAUCAUAUCUCCUAUCAAAGCAUGAUGCAGUUGCUUGGUAGUUGAUAUGAAAUCCCAUUAAUAUCUGCCUUUUUGUUUUUAACAUGUUUUGGAGUUCAACUGUAACCUGGCAUACAUUUUCAUAUUUAUUCACAUGCAUUAAUCAUAAUAAUUGUAUAAUAAAUCAAAGUAAACUCAUAUUCAUACCCUAGUAUCAUUGUUUCUGUUGGCACGUAGUUCUUUUGUGGUUGUGGUUGGCUUAGCUGGAGACUUACGUGUGCAUGUAACUCAUUAUUAUUGCAAUGCAAUCCAUAAACCUAAGGUUCAGAUCAUUAUAUAUGCUCAAUGGUGAUUAGAAUGCAUUUAUUAAUUAUACUUGGAAAGAUUGUCUAGAUCAGUACCUUCUUCAGUUCUGCUUGUUCUUGAAGCAGGAGAUCUAGUUUCUUUUGCAAUUCUUCAUUUUCUUGAGCAACAAGACUCCCCUAAAAUGAUAUGAAUCAGAAUUCAGAAUCUGUUUCAUGCAUAAUCUAAGGAAAUUAACAAUUAUUGUUUGUUUUUUACCUUGUGGUGUAAUUCUUUUACUUCAAUUGUUAAUGCUUGUUCCUGUAGCAAGAGAUAAAUGUAAUUAGUAUUUGGCUUUGUUUCAAUGUUCAUAUCACUUCACUCUACACACAAUGAUACUUAUGUUUGAUUAUGAAAUAAUGUUCUUCAUAUUUAGUAACAACUGAACUGAUAUAUUUGUGUGGAUGACAAUAACAUGAGAAUUCCUACCUUCUUUGUUCUGACACCCUUUAGACUCCUUUCCAGUUGGGCUUCUAGAUUCUGGAGAUCAUUGACAUUCAAACCAAAAAGUUCUUCGCCCAACAGCUGCCUGCAAGAAUG